UUGCAAAGUAGAUCCGAUCCGAGAAGCCCAUAUUUUCUUCCAAUCCUGAGCUGGACAACUUGAUGAUCCAGGCCAUUCAAGUUCUGCGCUUUCAUUUACUGGAGUUAGAGAAGGU